AAGUCGUAACAAGGUUUCCGUAGGUGAACCUGCGGAAGGAUCAUUAGUAUUGGAUAAUACCUUCCAAACCCAUCUGUGUAUCUUUCCUGUUGCUUCCGUACUGCGUGGACUUUGAUCCCCUCUUGCCCCGUACCUCAGUAUGGUUCAGAGUGUCGGUACGGGAGGUAUACAUUAAACUCUUGCAUUUCAUGUCAUUUGUCUGACCUGUUUAUGAAAACAAGUUAAAACUUUCAACAACGGAUCUCUUGGUUCUCGCAUCGAUGAAGAACGCAGCGAAAUGCGAUAAGUAGUGUGAAUUGCAGAAUUCAGUGAAUCAUCGAAUCUUUGAACGCACAUUGCGCCUCCUUGUAUUCAGGGAGGCAUGCCUGUCCGAGCGUCAUUAAAAACCACUCAAGCUCCUUUGCUUGGUUACUGGAAGAAGAGUUCACCUGUUGUGUGGGGACUCCCUUCCGAAAUACAGUGGCGGGAAGGUCUCUGGUACCCGGCGUAGUAGUAACUGUUCGUCGUGUGUCCUCUGGCGUUCCUGCCGUCAAACCCCCAAUUCUUUCUAGGUUGACCUCGGAUCAGGUAGGGAUACCCGCUGAACUUAA
rnacentral:rRNA from 1 species